UACAUAAUUAAUUAAAAUACUACAAAGAUUCUUACUUCCAAUGACCAAUUGGUGGUUCAGGUGGUAUAGGUGCACCUUCAGUGAGGAAUGGAUCGUCUUCUACAGCUACAUUCUUAAUACUUCUUUCUAUAAUUUUGGAAGUUUCUUGAGCUCUGGUCAUUGUUGAUCGUACAAUCAAACUGUAUGGGAAGCCCAAUUCUUGUAACCUUCUCCCUGUUGUUUCAGCUUGUUUUUUACCUUCAUGUUUCACAAAUUUUUGUAAUUACCAAAAUUCUCUUAUACAAAUCAAGUAAUAAUAGCAAAUAUAAUAAAUAAUACAUGUAAAAUAUACUAACCGAGUUCUGUAAGCCUCCUUUCAAAAUCUGUCUUGCCUGUAACAUUAUAUUGUCCAUGACGUAUCAAAAUUAUGUGACGCGUAGCUUUUGCUUUGUUUAGUGAUAAUUCCUUGUUAUAUGUGUUUUCAUCAUUCUCGCUGAUUAUUUUUACUGGCUUCACUAAACUCUUUGGAUCCCGUCUAGAAUUACAGUUACAAAUACAAUACAUUACAAGUUAACAUUAAAAUGUAAUACAUAUCUUAUGAAUUAUUAACAAAUUAUUUUCAUGAGAAACUAUAAGAAAAUUUAUUUAGACAUGUAGGGGAAUGAAUACUACAUACAUUCGUAUUUAUAUGUAUAAAUGUAUUUUCUACAUUUAAGUAAAAAAUGUUUAUUGCACACAACUUUUGUUCGAUAGAAAACAGAUAACGUAAAAAUUUCUUGUUAAAUGAUCCCAUGGAGAAUCACAAAAAAUAGAAUGCAAGAACAAAUCUUAAUUACACGUCAAUAUCUCAUUAUGAAGUCAUUAAUGUGUUUUUAUCAAUAACAGUGAUAAAGUGUAUAACCUAUCCCAGUUGUGGUUCCAUUUUACCGACGGGUUUGCAUUCGUUGUCCACGAAUUUCGCACCUGCAGAAAUUCUUUGUUACCGCAAAUAUUCCAAUAAACUAAUGUUGCACCACCUAAUGCAGUUAAUCGCGUUGCCCAUUUUUUAAAGCUUGAUCUCAUGGGCAUCUUUACAGUGCGUAAGUUACCUCGGCUAAGCCACUGUUACAUUUCAAAUUCCACGACCUUUUCUGUCAGUGCAUCUAAUACGAUUUCGUUUGUGUUUACAAUUUUUUUCGUUUAGUAUUACUAUUACAUCGACUUUAUUUAAUUAAACUGAAAUUUGAAUGAAUAAUAACUUGAUAUUCCAAUAUUUACUAAAUUGUUAAAAGAACAUUGGAAUUUAGUAUAAUCUUAUUGGUAUGAAUCCAUUAAAAGAUUACCAUCUUUAUCUUUGAGACGUAUUCUACCAUUUGAAUAUCUUGUUUCCUGAGUACCAUCAGAAUAAAUAAAUUUAACUGUACCAUCAGGAUAUUCUCGCCUCUAAAACAUAGAGAAUAUAUUGCACAAAACAUAUUAAAUAUGUAAUUUUCAAUAAAAUUAUUACUAAUA